UGGUGGAGCGAUUUGUCUGGUUAAUUCCGAUAACGAACGAGACUCUAGCCAACUAAAUAGUCCGUCGAUGCAUUGUUGUCGGCGCAUAAAAGACUUCUUAGAGGGACAAGUGGCAGAAAAAGCCACACGAGAUUGAGCAAUAACA
rnacentral:rRNA from 1 species